rnacentral:lncRNA from 1 species
GACAGGAGGAGGAAGACUCAUAGGAGGCUGCCAUAGAAACUGAGCAAGAGAUACCACAAAAGGGAGAUGGGCAGCGAGGGCAGGGAUUUUAUGGAAAGCUUUCUGAGACUAGGGAGGGUGCACAGGCGCUGGACCAUCCAGGGAGGGCUGCACAGGUGCUGGACCUUCCUGUGCUCCCCACACUGGGCUUGGUCGUGACAACCACUCUCUGUGAGGUGCAAGGUGUCUGUGAUGCGGCAGCAGCACUCACAUUCUGUUUUAUUCACGGUAACAACAGAGGGUGUCUUCAGAGCUGGCUGGCUGUCCAGCGGAUGGAGCGGCAGACGUGGAAUGCGGGUGUUCUCCGAGCAAGCCAAGCUGGCAAUGGAUGUAUAAAUAGAAGUCAGCAGUCAUUAGGAGCUUCCCGAGCUGAGAUCAUCUUCCCUCUAGCCAUCACGGCAGGCCCAGGCAAGUGCUAGGUCCAUGUCUGUGCCCCACAAGCAGCAAAGGUCAGCAGAACACGAGAGGGGCAGAGAGAAGAGCCAGAAAGUGAACUGAAAAUAACACCUGUGAGAAGCGAGAGCGACUGGGGUAUGCAACAUGGCAAGCAGCACGUCUGGGGGCCUCAGGCCUGGAGGUGCAGCUUUAGGCUCACUGCGGGAGCUGCUGCCCUGACACCUUCCAGCCGGCAUUGCAUACGCCCAGGAAAGGCGAACUGCUACCGGAUGACGUGGGGCGUGUGGUGCCCGUGUUUGGAGGCGCCAGCGCCGGGCUGCUGCAGGACACGGGUGAGGGCCUACGGGCAUGUUCAGGCCUGUGACACCUCUCAGGCAGGCUUGAGACUCAGAAUCCCACAACACUGGCCAGGAGUGCCAGGGCAGCGUCACGCUGUCCUGCCCACAGUCACACGUCCUGCAGCAGCACGGAGCUUCCUCUUUAAAGUGAGUCAGCUUGGAAUAAAG